rnacentral:tRNA from 1 species
GCCCUUAUAGCAUAGUGGUAGUGCGUCGCACUUGUAAUGCGGAGGUCCGCGGUUCAAUCCCGCGUGGGGGCA